rnacentral:rRNA from 1 species
GUCUACAUAGUUUACCUAGGCGACGUGAAGCAUGGGCACCCGGACCACGUCGUGGCUUCGCACCAUGACAUGCUCACCACUCUUCUCGGAAGCAAGGAGGAAUCUAUGGCCUCCGUGGUGUACAACUACAAGCACGGCUUCUCAGGCUUCGCCGCCAUGCUUACGCCGGAGCAAGCAGAGCGACUUGCAGAGUUUCCGGAGGUAAUCAGCGUCGAACCAAGCAGAAGGCACAAGGCGAGCACCACGCGGAGCUGGGACUUUCUUGGGCUCAACUACCAGAUGUCUGGCAGUGCGGUUCCCCAUGGAACCAACUACGGAGAGGAUGUGAUCAUCGGAGUGAUUGACAGCGGGAUCUGGCCGGAGUCACGAAGCUUUAGCGACCAAGGGUACCCACCGAUACCGUCAAGGUGGAAAGGGAUGUGCCAACUAGGGCCAGACUGGGACAAGAACAACUGCAGCCGCAAGAUUAUCGGCGCACGGUUCUACAGCGCAGGACUUCCCGACGAGGUCCUCAAGACGGACUCGCUCUCACCUCGUGACUAUGGCGGGCACGGCACGCAUUGUGCAUCCACCGCGGCGGGCUCGGCCGUGCAGGCGGCCAGCUUCAACGGCCUCGCCAAGGGGGUUGCACGGGGAGGCGCACCACACGCUCGCAUAGCGGUCUACAAGACCUUAUGGGGCGCCCAAGGCAUUGGCUAUACGUCGGACUUUCUUGCUGCCAUCGAUGAUGCAAUCCACGAUGGUGUGGACGUGCUAUCGUUGUCCGUCGGAUUCCCGGACGAGAACUCGUUCGGCGCCCUGCAUGCGGUUCAGAAGGGGAUCACCGUGGUGUACGCGGCCGGGAACGACGGACCUAGGCCGCAGACCCUUGAGAACACUUCACCGUGGGUCAUCACCGUGGCAGCGAGCAAGGUUGAUCGGUCAUUUCCGACGGCGAUCACACUAGGAAACAACCAGCAUAUACUGGGUCAGUCCCUCAACUACCACGGCAAUUCUGACGCAGACUUCAUUUUUCUUUCUGUAUGUAGAUGUACCAUAGCAUCUCUUAAUGCCACUGCCAAGGACGUGAAAGGGAAAAUCCUGCUCUGUUCUCCCUUGCCAGAUGAUCCAUUGGCGAUCGCCCCAGGGAUCACUUUCAACAACGCGUUACAAUAUGUCCGGAAUGGCGGGGGAUCUGGACUUAUUUUCGCUCAAUAUACAACAGACCUUUUAGGUGUUUGCCAAGGCAUAGCCUGCGUCAUCGUGGACCUUGACACUGGUAAGAAGAUCAAAAAAUACAUCCUUGGCACAAGCUCUCCCAUGGCAAAGAUCGAACUGGCACGCACCGUUAUCGGGAAAGAGAUAUCCGCACCAAAAGUGGCCUCCUUCUCCUCUAGAGGUCCAUCACCUGAUUACCCCGAAAUUAUCAAGCCUGACAUAGCUGCACCGGGAGCCAACAUCUUGGCAGCAGUGGGAAAUUCCUACGUAUUUAUGUCUGGAACGUCAAUGGCAACCCCACACGUAGCUGGCAUCGUCGCACUGUUGAAAGCUCAGCACCCAGAUUGGUCUCCUGCGGCGAUUAAAUCAGCCAUCAUAACCUCCGCCCAUGUAACCGACGAGCGUGGCAUGCCGAUACUGGCAGAAGGGCUGCCUCGAAAAAUCGCUGACCCAUUCGACUACGGCGGCGGGAACAUCAAUCCUGGCGGCGCGGCCGAUCCCGGUCUGGUCUAUGACAUCGAUCCCCGCGACUACAACAAAUUCUUCGGGUGCACCAUCAUCAGGAGGGCAAACGUGAGUUGUGAUGCGACAACGUUACCGGCAUAUCACCUGAACCUGCCCUCCAUCGCGAUCCCUGAGCUGAGGCAUCCAAUCACCGUGUGGAGGACAGUGACAAACGUCGGCGAGGUCAACUCCGUGUACCACGCAGAAGUCCAAAGCCCAGCUGGAGUCAAGAUGGAGAUUGAGCCGCCGGUGCUCGUGUUCAACGCCAUGAACAAAGUUCAUACGUUUAAGGUGAAAUUCUCGCCUAUGUGGAAGCUGCAAGGGGACUACACCUUCGGCAGCAUUACGUGGCAUAAGGAACAGAAGGCUGUGAGGAUUCCUGUUGCAGCCCGAAUUACAAUUCAGGACUUUUAUGCAGAUGUUGCAUAA